rnacentral:rRNA from 1 species
UACGGAGGAUCCAAGCGUUAUCCGGAUUUAUUGGGUUUAAAGGGUGCGUAGGCGGCUUAUUAAGUCAGGGGUGAAAGACGGUGGCUCAACCAUCGCAGUGCCCUUGAUACUGAUGAGCUUGAAUACACUUGAGGUAGGCGGAAUGUGACAAGUAGCGGUGAAAUGCAUAGAUAUGUCACAGAACACCAAUUGCGAAGGCAGCUUACUAAGGUGCAAUUGACGCUGAGGCACGAAAGCGUGGGGGAUCAAACAGG